UUUAAGAGCAGACGCCAAUUCAUCUGACAUCUCCUCUUCAAAAUGGGAUAGAUUGAAUUUUUUUUUGAAAACAAAGUUAUUUAGAGAUUUUUUUUGAAAAACAGGAGUAUUUGAAUAAAUUGUUUGAAACUUGUGUCCUACAAAUAAAACUUGAGAGGAGGUCGGAUCAUAACACAUCGAAAGAAAUUUCAUUAAGAAUCAUUCAUGCAUAAUUCCUAUAACUCUCAUUUACU
rnacentral:lncRNA from 1 species